CGUGGGGAAUCUGCCUUUGAGCGGGGGACAACAUUUGGAAACGAAUGCUAAUACCGCAUAAAAACUUUAAACACAAGUUUUAAGUUUGAAAGAUGCAAUUGCAUCACUCAAAGAUGAUCCCGCGUUGUAUUAGCUAGUUGGUGAGGUAAAGGCUCACCAAGGCGAUGAUACAUAGCCGACCUGAGAGGGUGAUCGGCCACAUUGGGACUGAGACACGGCCCAAACUCCUACGGGAGGCAGCAGUAGGGAAUCUUCGGCAAUGGACGAAAGUCUGACCGAGCAACGCCGCGUGAGUGAAGAAGGUUUUCGGAUCGUAAAACUCUGU
rnacentral:rRNA from 1 species